UUCUUUUCCUCCAUUCUUAAAUAGGGCUUCAUAUUUCAAGAACUACAUAGCUUCCUCGCCCUCAUCUCCUCCAAAUUCCAGUACGUACAUUUUAUUUUUCCCUUAGAAAGAGCAAGAGUGCUUUGAAAAUGUGUUCAAAAAAUAUUAAGGUUUUCCUUUGGCUAGCUCUGGUUGCUGCCCUGCUUCUAAUGUCUUCUCAGGUUUUAACUGUUAAGGGCUUGACUGAGAAGAAACCAGAGGUGGAGGCGGUGGAGGCAACUGAAAAAAAUGGAGUGGAAAACCUUAAAUAUGAGGCAUCUCUAGCAGUAGCAGGCGGCGCCCAAUGUGGUUCACCUGGUUGUUGUAGAUUCAGGUCGGUCAGCCCAAGAUUUGUUCCAACUUGCUUAAGAUGUUGCCCCUAAUUUUGUUGCUCAAACUAAAGCCUCGAACUGUUUGUUGAAAUACUACUGCAACUACUGGUUCCACUCGCAAAUGAUCCGAAGCCUAGGAAUUGUCUAAUGAACAAAUAUUUUUGCAGUUUGUAAUGAUUUUUGGAAAAAAAUCAGCGGCCCAUGAUUAAGUAUCAUUAUCUGAAGUAUUUAUGUUUUUACUGUAUCAUUUUACCCUUGAUUUGUGCAUUGUGCCCCAUUUUAUCUUCCAUGGUUAAUGGCAAUCGGUCAGCAACUCGAGUCCUUUUUAUGGUUUAGUC